rnacentral:rRNA from 1 species
GCAGCCGCGGUAAAACGUAGGAGGCGAGCGUUAUCCGGAUUUACUGGGUGUAAAGCGCGUGCAGGCGGUCAUGUAAGUGGUGCGUGAAAGCGCCCGGCUCAACCGGGCGAGGCCGUGCCAAACUGCGUGACUGGAGGCAGGUAGAGGCGCGUGGAAUUCCGGGUGUAGUGGUGAAAUGCGUAGAUAUCCGGAGGAACACCAGUGGCGAAGGCGGCGCGCUGGGCCUGACCUGACGCUAAGACGCGAAAGCAUGGGGAGCGAACGGGAUUAGAAACCCCGGUAGUCCAUGCUGUAAACGCUGCAGACUAGGUGUUGCGUGCGACGAGUAUGCAGUGCCGAAGCCAACGUGAUAAGUCUGCCACCUGGGGACUACGGCCGCAAGGUUAAAACUCAAAGGAAUUGACGGGGGCCCGCACAAGCAGCGGAGCGUGUGGUUUAAUUCGAGGCUACACGAAGAACCUUACCUGGGCUUGACAUGGCGGUGGUAGGGAACCGAAAGGGGACCGACCUUCGGGAGCCGUCACAGGUGCUGCAUGGCUGUCGUCAGCUCGUGUCGUGAGAUGUUCGGUUAAGUCCGGUAACGAGCGCAACCCUCGCCGCUAGUUACAAGUGUCUAGCGGGACUGCCCGUUGAACGCGGGAGGAAGGUGGGGAUGACGUCAAGUCAGCAUGGCCUUUAUGUCCAGGGCUACACACACGCUACAAUGGCCGGUACAAUGGGUCGCCAACCCGCGAGGGGGAGCCAAUCCAUCAAAGCCGGUCUCAGUUCGGAUUGCAGGCUGCAACCCGCCUGCAUGAAGUCGGAGUUGCUAGUAACCGCAGGUCAGCUAUACUGCGGUGAAUACGUUCCCGGGCCUU